AGAGUUUGAUCCUGGCUCAGGAUGAACGCUGGCGGCGUGCCUAACACAUGCAAGUCGAACGGACCUAUAUUAACAGAGACUUCGGUGAAGUGGUUUAGGUUAGUGGCGGACGGGUGAGUAACGCGUGGAGAACCUGCCCUGUACUGGGGGAUAACAGUGAGAAAUCACUGCUAAUACCGCAUAAGCGCACGAAACCGCAUGGUUUUGUGUGAAAAACUCCGGUGGUACAGGAUGGCUCCGCGUUGGAUUAGCCUGUUGGCGGGGUAACGGCCCACCAAAGCUACGAUCCAUAGCCGGCCUGAGAGGGUGAACGGCCACAUUGGGACUGAGACACGGCCCAGACUCCUACGGGAGGCAGCAGUGGGGAAUAUUGCACAAUGGGGGGAACCCUGAUGCAGCGACGCCGCGUGAAGGAAGAAGUAUCUCGGUAUGUAAACUUCUAUCAGCAGGGAAGAAAAUGACGGUACCUGACUAAGAAGCCCCGGCUAACUACGUGCCAGCCGCGGC
rnacentral:rRNA from 1 species